GGCGGCAUGCCUAACACAUGCAAGUCGAACGAGACCUUCGGGUCUAGUGGCGCACGGGUGCGUAACGCGUGGGAAUCUGCCCUUGGGUUCGGAAUAACAGUUAGAAAUGACUGCUAAUACCGAAUGAUGUCGUAAGACCAAAGAUUUAUCGCCCAGGGAUGAGCCCGCGUAGGAUUAGCUAGUUGGUGUGGUAAAGGCGCACCAAGGCGACGAUCCUUAGCUGGUCUGAGAGGAUGAUCAGCCACACUGGGACUGAGACACGGCCCAGACUCCUACGGGAGGCAGCAGUGGGGAAUAUUGGACAAUGGGCGAAAGCCUGAUCCAACAAUGCCGCGUGAGUGAUGAAGGCCUUAGGGUUGUAAAGCUCUUUUACCCGGGAUGAUAAUGACAGUACCGGGAGAAUAAGCUCCGGCUAACUCCGUGCCAGCAGCCGCGGUAAUACGGAGGGAGCUAGCGUUAUUCGGAAUUACUGGGCGUAAAGCGCACGUA
rnacentral:rRNA from 1 species